UUUAGCAAAGCUGCUUCAUCUGCAAAGUUUACAAAAUGCCACCAGCAUUGCCGAACUAAGGAACAACAAGAAUGUGUUCUUCCUAGCUUUUAAGUAGACUGCUCCGAAAAGAUUCAAAACUGUGAGACCUGCAGUGUUGAUACGCCUAUUCCAGGUCACAGAUGGCUCUACCUUAUUCAAAGCAGGUGGAUGGACAACACCCAGAGGAGAGGGGAGACAUGGCCU